rnacentral:lncRNA from 1 species
AAAUAUCCUUAAUAAUAACUAAAGUUCAUACAAAUUAACAUACUUCAAGGUCCAAAAUGAUAUUAAAAUGCAUAUAGCUAAUACAAUUAAGUUUGAAUUAUCCGCAACACCAAUAAUAAAGUUCAAACCAAAAAAGUGUGAUUUAUCCCUAACACCAACAAUAAAGUUCAAAACGUAAAGCUUUCAAACCAAAAAGAUGUAAAUCAUCCCUAACACCAAUAAUAACGUUCAGAACAAAAAUCUUCCAAAUACGAGGCUUAGGGGUUAAGGUCAUCAUCUGAAACCGAUGGAUGAACUCCAUGAACAGCUUCCUAUAAUAUUUCCUGAUACAUUUGCUGUAAAAGAGGUUUAAUAAGUAGUAAAAUUAAAACAGUUAAGAAUGUUGAGCAUUUAAUUAACAACAUUAAUAUCUUAUUUAUAACAGUUAAUACACUUCCUACAUUCAUGUUGCCACGCUUCAAACAAGGCCUAAGUUAAGCUUCUGUCCCUGUCAGCAGUGAAUGACAAUCGAGUAGAUUAAAUUAGGGUCACGCGUUUUUUUCAUUUCCAAAAUUUAGGCAGCAAAAGUUAGUUUCAAUUCUCUCAAGACUUCCUCUCAAAUUCAUCUACUACAUUUCGGUUACUGAGAGUGCUGCGAUUGUGAUAAAUAAUACACAUUGUUUCUAUCCAUGAUAAAUUGUUCUAGUCGUUGAUAACACACAUAACAUGCUUCUUUCAGAAAAGUUUCACGUCGUCAUAUUUUUCUGCUUCACAGCCUAAAUAGCAUUCUAAGCCACUAAACAUGUUCAGUGACGAACUCGUGCGUAGCCAUAGUAAUGUUUGCUUCGAAAUUGAGACUAUAACACCACCACCUUAUUAUGACACUAAAUCUCAUACAUAUUGCAAGAAGAUUGAAGAAAUGAGGUUAUGCUACAUAUUUAACCAUACACUCAACACAUAAUAAUACCAAUUGGUGGAAUUUGUAUUUGGAUUAAAAAAAUAAUCAAGCUACCAGCUAUACAUAUCAGAUAAACAUGGUGAAGAAGACAGUACCUGAGAUUCUGCAAUAGUCAGAACCAUGGAAAGAAUCAUGGGUUGCAUUACCACAUUCCGGAGCUCAGCACAUAGUGGAGGAAAAACCUGAAUCAUAAUACAAAUAUGAUAAGUUCUCCAACCAUUUAGAAUUGCAAAAGCAAUUAAUAGAGUAAAGUAGCUGAAUAUUUACCUCAGCUGUAAAGAGAUGGAACCAUGAAUUUAUUGUUGAGUUUAUUAUAUAUACAGAACCGAGAUAAACGAAUUACUAAUUAAGAUUCGCAAUUAUAUGGAGAACUCUGAAAACCAUGUGUUGCAGCUGGACUGUAGACCUUAUUAAACUUGAAUGACCUACGGCCUUCCUUUCCUUGUUUGGAAGGAUUUACAACAAUAAGCUCCACAUUUUCUUUAAUUUAUUCAACAACUGAUUGUUUUUCCUUUUGUCCACGAAGGAAGCCUAAUUCGACAACAUACUCUGAUAUUUUCUAAUUGAAAAAUAACCAUGAGUAAAUGAAAAAGAAAGGUAAUAAAUUUCAGUUCUCAAAUUUAUUAGAACUUCAUUAUAUUAUCGCACCUUUUAGCUCCUGCACCUCAUUGUGCAAUUUGCGAUUCUCAGCAAUGACUGCGGAGUAGUUAGCAGCUGCAUGUCCUAGCUCUCUAACUUUUUCACAUGCAGUAGAAAUUUUAUUCCAUAUAGGAAAUCCAUUUAAGUCAAUAUUAAAACCUGUGCUGAUAUGUUAUGCUUGUAUUGCAAUCAAUAAACGACGUUAUUAUAACCCUUCAAGAAGCUGAACUAACCUAUUUGAUUGAAUUCCUCUGCAUAGCUCUUUUGUGCUUUUACAAUUUCCUGACUUAUUAACUGAGAAGAAAACCUUAGUUCCUGAACAUUCAUCGAGGUUAAAUUCACACGUGCUACAACACUGACAUUUCAGAAAAAAGUAAGAAAAGAGAUCAAGCAUACACGAAGUGCGCCUUGCUGGAAUUCUGUAAAUAUUUGGUAAAUAUGAUGCUUUUCAAGGCUGUAAUUAGAAUCAAAUACGUGUUAAUAAGUUGUUACCAUAACAACAACAUUCUAUUAUUUUUUUCCUCACACUUUUUCUCCCUUAUUCCAAUUUGUGAGUAAUUCAAGAAAAAGUAUCGUCUCUCUUUUGUACUUUUUUGCCAAAUCAUAGCUUCUUCAUUCUUUUUGAGUUUUCUCCCCUUUGGUCCCCCCCCCCAAAAAAAGUUCAAACCAAAAAAGUGUGAUUUAUCCCUAACACCAACAAUAAAGUUCAAAACGUAAAGCUUUCAAACCAAAAAGAUGUAAAUCAUCCCUAACACCAAUAAUAACGUUCAGAACAAAAAUCUUCCAAAUACGAGGCUUAGGGGUUAAGGUCAUCAUCUGUUACAUACAAAUAUAGUGAAAACCUAAUUAGUCACAUAAAAAAGAUCAUAUCUUGACAAAUAAACCAGAAACACAAGUCAAACCUUGAAAGAAAAGAACUUUUCAUACAAAAAAUCCCCCUUUUACAAUUAAAAUCUGAUAAAGCUCCUAGCCCUAGCUGCUCCAAAUUGAUGCAAAUAAAGUAAGAAGAAAACAAUUAAUUUGAAAAUGUUUGCUCACAUGCAGAGCAAUGAACAUAGUAUUCAUAGUCAUUAACACUGUCAUCAAGCUACUGAUUCAUAAGAAAAGAAGAAGAAACAAAUUAAUGCCAUCUACACACCUUAUAUUCACAUUGGAUACUAAUUUUUGCUUUUGUUCUUGCCGUCAAGUAUGUUUUCUAUUGAUUUUGCUCCCAGCCGCCCAUAUUUGCUCCUAGCGUUCUACACUGUUAGAAGAAGAAGAGACCGAAAUUUUACUAAUUUUGUGCCGUAGGGUAAAUAAUUAAGUGGUCUUCAGCGACGGAUUUAGCUACGGCUUAAUUUCCGUCGCUACUAAUGAUAUUUUUUUCGGCAGGAUAUAACAUUGUCUACGGAACUUUCCGUAGCAAGGAGCUUAAAAAAAAUGUGAUACAAAAAUUAAGCAUAGCGACGGAAAUUGCGUUGCUAAUUCCGCCGCUGAAGGUGAU